AACGAACGCUGGCGGCAUGCCUAACACAUGCAAGUCGAACGAGACCUUCGGGUCUAGUGGCGCACGGGUGCGUAACACGUGGGAAUCUGCCCUUUGCUUCGGAAUAACAGUUAGAAAUGACUGCUAAUACCGGAUGAUGUCGAAAGACCAAAGAUUUAUCGGCAAAGGAUGAGCCCGCGUAGGAUUAGGUAGUUGGUGGGGUAAAGGCCUACCAAGCCGACGAUCCUUAGCUGGUCUGAGAGGAUGAUCAGCCACACUGGGACUGAGACACGGCCCAGACUCCUACGGGAGGCAGCAGUGGGGAAUAUUGGACAAUGGGCGAAAGCCUGAUCCAGCAAUGCCGCGUGAGUGAUGAAGGCCUUAGGGUUGUAAAGCUCUUUUACCAGGGAUGAUAAUGACAGUACCUGGAGGAUAAGCUCCGGCUAACUCCGUGCCAGCCGCCGCGGUAAGAC
rnacentral:rRNA from 1 species